CGCAUCUGUGCAUGCAGCAUAUCAAUAAGCGGAGGAAAAGAAACUAACAAGGAUUCCCUUAGUAACGGCGAGUGAAGCGGGAAGAGCUCAAAUUUGAAAUCUUCAAGGGUUCUACCUUUACGAAUUGUAGUUUAAAGAAGUGUUUUCUGUUGAGGUUGAGUACAAAGUUCCUUGGAAUGGACAUCAUAGAGGGUGAGAAUCCCGUAUUUGACUUAUUCAUUCUAACUUUGUGAUACGCUUUCAAAGAGUCGGAUUGUUUGGGAAUGCAGUCCAAAAUGGGUGGUAAAUUUCAUCUAAAGCUAAAUAUUGGCGAGAGACCGAUAGCGAACAAGUACCGUGAGGGAAAGAUGAAAAGAACUUUGAAAAGAGAGUUAAACAGUACGUGAAAUUGUCAAAAGGGAAGCGUUUGACACCAGCGUUGUUUUUCCGAAAAUCAAUUACGAAUGGCUUGAUUUUGUGUUGUAUUGACCUUAUCAGCUUUCUUCACUUUUUUCGAGUCUUCCUUAAUGCACUUUUCGGUUAACAAGUCAACAUCAAUUUCUUUUGUUGUAAAAGAGUAUUCGGAAGGUGGCUUUCUUUUCGGAGAAAGUGUUUAUAGCCCUAUACUUCUACAAUCGGAGGGAUUGAGGUCUGCAGCGUAGAUCCUUCGGGGUUAGAUACAUUUGUGCUAAGUUGUAGCUUUUCAUAGACAACUUGUUGACUAUGUUUAGUCAUGCGGCUUACUCGCUUAUGCUAUUUUACCUACGCUUAGGAUGUUGAACUCUAUCACACACAG
rnacentral:rRNA from 1 species